GACGAACGCUGGCGGCGUGCUUAACACAUGCAAGUCGAACGGUAAGGCCCUUCGGGGUACACGAGUGGCGAACGGGUGAGUAACACGUGGGUGAUCUGCCCUGCACUUCGGGAUAAGCCUGGGAAACUGGGUCUAAUACCGGAUAGGACCCUGGGAUGCAUGUCCUGGGGUGGAAAGCUUUUGCGGUUUGCGAUGGGCCCGCGGCCUAUCAGCUUGUUGGUGGGGUGAUGGCCUACCAAGGCGACGACGGGUAGCCGGCCUGAGAGGGUGACCGGCCACACUGGGACUGAGAUGCGGCCCAGACUCCUACGGGAGGCAGCAGUGGGGAAUAUUGCACAAUGGGCGCAAGCCUGAUGCAGCGACGCCGCGUGAGGGAUGACGGCCUUCGGGUUGUAAACCUCUUUCAGCACCGACGAAGCGCAAGUGACGGUAGGUGCAGAAGAAGGACCGGCCAACUACGUGCCAGCCGCCGCAGUAA
rnacentral:rRNA from 1 species